rnacentral:lncRNA from 1 species
GUUUUGAUUAUUUUUCCAUUCUUUUUUUCAAGUUCCUUAUUUUACCAAAUAGAUAUAAUUAUUCAUAUAUUUAUAUGAUUUAUCUCUCCAAAGACAUUAUUGUGCUGCUCAAGCACUGUUCAAUAAACAGGUUUUUCCAUGAAAAUUGGGAAACUUGCAUUCCUUGUAUUUCUUGUCACUCUCUGUGUGUGACUUAUCUUGGCUAAGGCUUAGGAUCCUUUCAGGAAAGCUUUGACACACUUUGGGGAGAUAUGGAGCUCAUUAGGCUGUUGCUAUUAAAGGUCCCAUUUCUGACUCCUGAUUAUUUGUAGAAUUCCAACAGAUGGUGUGAACAACUGAAGCAACUUUUCUUCUUUCUGGAAAGGAUAAAAUGAAAGCCGACAAAAAGAAGAAACCAUGCCCACAUUUUGGAUGACCGUGCUGACCUGCCUCCCUGGAGACAAACCUGUUUCCUCGCUCCAGGCAAGGCACAGGAGCAGGGAGGAGCAGCAGGAGGAGGGAGGCAGCAGCGUGGGACCGCCUGACCUUCAGUGGAGGCUGCUGGGCGCACGGGAGACGUGUCCAAGGCAGCAAGCAGGAGAGAAAAGUGAGCUGGGACUGCAGCUCUGA